AUUGAACGCUGGCGGCAGGCCUAACACAUGCAAGUCGAGCGGGGUUUUCGGACCUAGCGGCGGACGGGUGAGUAAUGCGUAGGAAGCUACCCGAUAGAGGGGGAUACCAGUUGGAAACGACUGUUAAUACCGCAUAAUGUCUACGGACCAAAGUGUGGGACCUUCGGGCCACAUGCUAUCGGAUGCGCCUACGUGGGAUUAGCUAGUUGGUGAGGUAAUGGCUCACCAAGGCGACGAUCCCUAGCUGGUUUGAGAGGAUGAUCAGCCACACUGGAACGGAGACACGGUCCAGACUCCUACGGGAGGCAGCAGUGGGGAAUAUUGGACAAUGGGCGCAAGCCUGAUCCAGCCAUGCCGCGUGUGUGAAGAAGGCCUUCGGGUUGUAAAGCACUUUCAGUAGGGAGGAAGCGUUGUGUGUUAAUAGUACACAGCGUUGACGUUACCUACAGAAGAAGCACCGGCUAACUCUGUGCCAGCAGCCGCAGUAAGAC
rnacentral:rRNA from 1 species